AAGUCGUAACAAGGUUUCCGUAGGUGAACCUGCGGAAGGAUCAUUAAAAACGUAUCCAACGUUAACCAACCGUGAACUUGUUUAUUUAACACACUAUUUUCACCCCUAUUUUGCUAGUUGAUUUUAUACAUGUUGAUUGUCUGCGAAAGCCGAGCAGUCUUCACGUUUCUUAAUUGAACGUAAAAUACAACUCUUAGCAAUGGAUAUCUAGGUUCUC
rnacentral:misc_RNA from 1 species